GCCAUUCCUUCAAGGAGAUGCUGCGGACCCAUUCUUUGCCUGGACUUGCUGCUGGCAGGAGACAAUAUGGCUGCUGUUUAAGAAACAGCCAAAGGGGAAAUGGGUGGAGUUCAUUCUUCUGAUCUCAACUCUAGAAAUAAUUUUUGGAGUAGUCUAGGGUCUUCUCUCCGGGUCUGUUUCCCAAUAUGUACUGACCUAAUCUGGACCCUCCAGAGCUCUCACCGGAGAUAGACCUCAGCACGGGCUGCCCCAUGGGGAUUUACGGGUGGCUCCUCCUGGCCCUCGCCCUGCUGGUGGUAGCGGAACUUAUAGUGUUGACAGCGCUGGGCCCCAGGUAGCUGCUCUGCCAGGAAGAUGACAGCAUCGUGGUGGAUGCCCAGGAGCCUUGCCCCACUCAUUCCUGGGAAGCGUCAAAGGUGCUGAAGGUGAGCAGGCAGCAGGGUGUAGGAGCCUGGAGUUCAGGAACCAGGUGAACUGGCUCUUCCCUAGGCCCCCAUGGCCGAUACUCCAGAAUUCGGCACCGAUACCAGCAGCGCCGCCGAGCAUCCACUGUGCUCCAGUACAGACGGGAGCACCUGAUGGGUAGAUGUAUGGGAACAGAAGACUGUUGCAUUAGAGUGAAAAAUAACAACAGUUAACAUUUACUGAGCAGCAUUUAUCAUCGUUCUCACACCGUUCCAACAUGGAGCCUGUAUCAUUUCACUUAAUCCUCCCAACCACCCCACACGAUAGAUAACUCUCAUCACCGACAGAAUGCAUGAAUGCCUCUGUCGCAGGCUACAGCUCACCUCACAGGGACAUGGUAAAAGCUAAAGGGCAUACUGUAUAGGAAGCAUCCAGCCCUCAGGUCCAAUCAACAGGAGUCUUUUAACUUUUAGUCUCUCAGGCUUCAGGCCCAGCUAUGGCCAGAAGUCACAAACAGGAAAAAAGCUGCUAUCACUACAGCACCAGAGUCCUGGAACAAUGAAAAAAGGCACCUAGGACAAGCAAUGAAAGGAUGAGCCCUAGAAGACAAUGUGAGAGAAGAGCUGGGACCCUGAGGGCCACCCACCUCUCCAGGCUCAUGCCCUUACCAUCUGCCUCCCUCGAGCCACAGCAGCAUGCACAUUCUUAAGAGAGCCGUCGUUCUCCUCAAACACUUCGGCUGACCAGAUGGCACAAUUAACAUGUGUCCACUCAUUCUGCCCAAUGUACAAGAGCCGCCCUGCCUCCUGGGGCAGAAGAGGGAUGGUGUAAGGGGGGAUCCCAGGGACCAGACCCCACGUCCUGGGGCUUCACACAGCAGCCCUCACCUUGGAAUCCGCAUCUCCAUACUUGAGGCAGAGGGCACACUGACGGGGGUCCUCCAUGUGUGAGAAAGCAGCUGGCUCCUUGCCCUGGAAAGCUGGAAGGGACGUGGGAAGGGAGGUACAAGAAUCAGGACCUGGAGUCUGACCCACUGACUCAGGAGCCCUAGUAUCCAGACCCUAAUUCCCAAUACCUGCUGAGGGGCCCCCCGGAGGCUGCCCCGAUUCUGGGAUCUCUGGUUCCUGCUGCCUCCACUGAGCAUAGACGUGGUCCAGGGAUGGGGGCAACACCGCAUUGGGAAGGACUCCGCUGUGGACAGGCAAGGUCAGCAUCUGACAUCUCUUAAUAAAUACUGUUGGACUUGCCCCACCCACUAAUAUCAGCCUAAACAUGCCAUGACACACCCUCUGUCCUCUCUUCAUGGGAAAUUUCUUUCAAUCCCCCAAGCAACUCAGGCUCUAAUGCCAUUUCAUACAUGAAAUGCUGUAACCCAUGCUUGGAAUACUUUUCCUCCACAUCUCAGCUCAGAUAUUACCUCUUCUGGGAAGCCUUCCUUGAUCCCAGGCUCAGGCAGGGCCCUCCUCUGGGCAUGCACAGUCCCCUGGACUUCCCUACCCUACCGUUAUCACAUGGGUCACCAGUGCCAGCCCAGCCCCCUAAACAUGAACUUUUCAA